GGAUUUCCUGCCUACCUUGUGCUCACUUUGCUGGGUAGUUGUAAAUAGAGUGCUUGAAAUGGACAGAAAAGGCAAUGGAGAAGGAGAGGUUCCUGCUGGCCUCCUUUCCAAUCCUGAAUUCACCCCUGGUGCAUGAGACUCACCAUUCCCUUGCUGCUACUUCAGGAGACUUUUACGGCACGGUGCUGCAUGUAAAGUUCACCGUUUUGCCAUGACCUUUCCUCUUUUAAAUUGUUUCAUCAUUGUGACCGACAUGAACCAAAGGGAAGAUGUAAAAAUGUUAAGGAAGUUCAUUUCUAAGAAGGUUAAGCAACUCUUGCAGUGCCCUUUCCACAUUAUCCAGGACCUCCUAGAGGCACCAUAACAUGAUAAUGAUGGUUUCUUUAAUUGCAUUUUGUUGUCAAAGAAGGCAUGCUUGAAAUGGAUGGCAAUUAAACAUUCUGCUUCUCAA